AAAACUAUGAGAAGAAAAACAUAAGGAAGACACUGCAGAACAUUGUUCUGGGGAAAGAUUUUAUGGCCAAGACUUCAAAAUCACCAGCAAUAAAAACAAAAAUAGACAAACGGGGCUACAUCAAACUAAGAUGCUUCUGCAAAAGGCCAAGGAAACAGUCGGCAGAGGGAAGAGGCAGCCACAGAAGGGGAGAAAAUAUUUGCAAACUAUUCAUCUGACAAGGGACACAUAUCCAGAAUCUACAAAGAACUCAAGCAAUUCAACAGGAAAACACACACACACACACACACACACACACACAAGUAACUUGACUGAAAAGCAGGCAAAGGAUUUAAAUAGACAUUUCUCAAAAGAAGACACACAGAUCACCCUGACAUUUAAAAAAAUUCCUGGACCUCACCCAGCCAGGUUCUCCAAUGUGAGCACCUUCAGAGUCACCGGCAGGGCUUGAGAAGGCCCCCGAAUUUGCAUUUCCAGUGGUUCCUGGGUGACACCGACACGGCUGGUCUGGGGGUCAUGUUUUGAGAACAUCACCUUCUCCAGAGAAGAGACCUGGAAGUGAGUCUUAUAAAGCCACAUACAAGAUUGUGUCACACACACACCUGCCUGGGGCCUUGGGGGCUGGAGUAGAAGGCGCAGAGGCUGCUCCAAAAGGAGGAGGCCAGAGGGCACUUCUGCAGGGGGGCUGCAGCACCCACACCAGGAGGGCAGCAGAGUGUUUGCAAACAAGCCACCCAUCCAGACUGCAGCCUGGGGAGGAGGGAGGGGGCCUCUCCAGGCCUCAGGCCGCUGUGCCCACGGUAGGCUGGUGGUGUGAGCCGUCGUCCAUCCAUGAUGGUGAAGAAAGCCUCUCCAGCUCUAAGGCCACCUCCUGUCACCCAGGCAUGGGAGAAAGUGGCUGACGCUGAAGACCCCAGCCCCCUCACCAAGGGAACCCCCAGCCCCAGCCCCUUCUGGAAGGCAUGGACUGCCUGGAGCCCAGCCCGGUCAGCCAGCUGAGCUAAGAGGAUCUGGUGAGUUUAAAGUCGGUCACACUUCUCUGGGCUCUGUAACGAGGGAAUGGACUAGAUGGGUUGUCAGACAUGAGAAACUCUUGGUUGGGGUGGCUACUAGACAGGCCCUCAUGAAGAAAGGGGCUGUGGCCAUCAGCUCACUGAACAGGUGGGGAAACUGAGGCCCAGAGAGGGAUGGGCCUGCCUGAGGCAUGGAGGGAGUUGCCCAGAUCUGAGCCAGGGCCAGACACCCCUGGUGUGCUCGUCUUCCAGCUGCCACGUGGAGCAGAUCACAACAUCCCCCCGACCCAGCGUCCCCCCACGGACCCCAGCUCAGAGCACACGUUCUCAGAGUGUGGCUCAAAGACCCCCACAGUUGGCCGGG
rnacentral:lncRNA from 1 species